rnacentral:lncRNA from 1 species
AUCUCAAACAGCUUAAAAAAAGCAAAAGCUAAGAAGGGUUAAGGGUCCAGUGUUGUCAGUGCCAUGGCUCAGGUCACUGCUGUGGCACGGGUUCGAUCCCUGGCCCAGGAAUUUCCACAAGCCAUGAGCAUGGCCAAAAAAAAAAAUCUAAUGUUCAGCCAGAUUUGAGAACCCGCUGCCCAAGUAUUGUGUGCUGAAACAAUAAUAUAUCAAAUGCUACAUCCAGCCGAUUGCACUGAUUAUAUUAAAGUUAUUUUAGUUUAGCUCACACUUUGACGGCCUGGCUUGAGGGACAGAAUAGUAACAAGGUUAAGAGUAUAAAUUGUUAUAUCAUUCUGCCAAAGUUCAAAUACUGAUUCUAUUCCUGUGUGUUUUAUUGAGCAAAUCAUUUAAUCUCUUCAUGUUUCAGUUUAUUCAUCUGUAAAACGGUGUUAAAAGUAGUACCUGCCUCAAAGCCCUGUUGGAUGAUUGAAUAGUAUGAGACAAGUAAAGCACUAAGAACAGCACCUAACACUCAGUAAGUGCUGUCAAAAUAUUAGCCAUUACCAUUCUUAGAUGAUGCUUGAAUCAUAGGGAUUUCCUAGAGUUUGAAACAACUUGAAAAAAUGAUCUGGUCCUUAGACAGUUGGAUUUUGUUAUGAUUCCCAUUUUACAGAUUAAUAAACUCAGGUUCUUAAGAUGUGCCUGCCCAAGAUGAUUCAGGAUGAAAAUAACAACAAUUAUAAUAAUAAAAACAAUAGCAAGUAAUUAUAUUGUGUGUUUACAGCAUGCCAGACAUUGUAUUAAGUGAUGUACAUUAAAUCAUUAACCCAGUGCUUUUCGACCUUUAAUGUGCACAGGAGAGCUGGCAAAAAUGUAGAUUCUGAUUCUUUAGGUCUGGGCUGGGGCUCGUGUCUAAACAACCUCCUAGAUGAUGGUUCUCCUGGUCCAAAACUCGCCCUUUGAAUAACAUGGGUUUAACAUGCUCAGCAACUGUAGCUGAUAUGUACUAGGUUUUGCCCUUGUUUUACAUAUCAUAAACUUGGCUUGUGAUGAAAAAUAACUUUCUCAAGGUCACAGAGCUUGAAACAGUAGUGCUGGAGCUUAGAAUGAUUGUCUUAUUCCAGAGCCUGCCUCCUUAUUUCUGAGGCCUGACUUCAUUCAUGGGCAUGUAACAGGGGUAUCGCUGCUAUUUGGCAGAAUGUAGAGCAAAUGCCCCAUGUUUCCCAAAUUUUUAAGUGGGAAGAGUGAGACACUGAUGGAGUCUUUUAUAUAUUUUUAGUUGUUCAUGGCCCUUUCAGCCGGACUGACUCAUUUAUAUCUGUACUUUUCUUACACAUAAAAGAAAGUCCCAAAUUCCAACUGAUAGGACACCUAACUCUCAGGUCCUUCCUGAGCUGUAACACUUACCACCACCCUUUUUAAUCGUGCCUUUUUUUAGUUCGAACCCAUUUCACUGAGUUUAGAAUUCUUGGCUCCUUAACUUGGAUCCUCUGCUACCCUGUACUGCUUCUGACUUCGCCUGGGAGGCAGACACAGAUGCCUUGCUCAGGCUCCCUCUGAAGAAAGAGCUUGUGGCCCAGCAUCAGGGAGUAGAGUGAGUGGACUUUUCCAACUGUUGACUCCUUUAGGUCUGUUUCAGCUUUGGAGCCCAGGCCAGCUCUUCUCUGAUCCCCUGGCCUAGCCAUUUAUGCUAAUGCUGACCCAUUUAUGGGCACACUCUGCUCAGAGCUCCUCUCUGAGCUGACAGAGACUUUGUGUUGGCAUCAUUGUCUGACAGCUCCCAUGCCCAAUGCUGCUUUUUCUCUUUUCACAGUUAGAAUAGAAAACCUUUUGUACUCCUAACUUCAUCUCAGUGUCUGCUUCCCAGAGGUUCCAACCACCACCUCCCACCACUCAGCCAGGUGAGAGCUCCUACUCAACCUAACCCCCAUUACCAACCCCAGCUGGUGCCUGGCUUGGUACUCUGUAGACAUCUAUGCCCAGAUUAAUUAUAUAUACUCACUCAAUACACAGGUGCAUGUUGAGUGACCAUUGGGUACUCAUAUCUUCACAAGCAUAAUCACCUCUUGUAAAUGUCUCAGGUAAAGGAGCGAUGUGGCAAAUUUACCUACCAUGUCUCUGUUUAGCCUUUGGUUCCUAUGGCGAAUUGUUUGCUAGAGGUUAAAAAUUUAGUGCUUACAUACUACCUCUUAAGAUCAUUGGUUGCUGCCUGUGUAAUUAUAAUGUUGUGGUAUAGUGAGGAAAUACAGAUGUCCCCAAAAUAAGAGGUGACCAGCUAUGUCUAUGGUGAAUAAAACACAGUGACCAUGCGUCAGCCACAUUGAACUGGAGUUCAAAAAGUAAAUCGCAUAGUGGAUACAGAAAAAUAAAUGGAGUAAAGAUUGAGGGGUUUUUGGUUUGUUUUGCUUUGUUUCGCUCUUUAUUAAUACUGUACAGAAUCCUGGGUCUUGGUUCUAAUUUCCAACGAGGAGUUGUCAACAUGAUUUCAUUGGAUGGGCUCUCAGAGCCCCUCCCCUAAUCCCCUCAUAUCUGUGUAUUUCUAUAUUGAAGGUUUGGAGUUUUGAAGAAGGGAGCAGGUGGAGGAGAGAAAGGUAACUUUUGAGGCUGGGCCAUCUCCUGGAAGUGGAGGCCUAUAUCACUGCUGAUUAGAUGUGUGUGGCUGACAGGGGAGAAGUGAUGAAAAGAAGUUCUGGCUGUCCAGAGAAUGGAAUGAGGUUUCUCCAUCUCCGGAGAAGGCAAAAUGACUGAGAGAUGGAACGGUGUCAGGGAAGAAGUGGAAGACAAGCCCAGUUUUGAUUAAAGCACAUUUCGGGUACUGUAGCCUAAGAGAGUCUUAGAAAACCUGUGGAGUAGAAGCAAAUCGUAAAACAGAAAGAAGCAAAAGGUAAAAUAGAGAGAGCUGGGCAGCAAUAUCUGUGGGAUGGACAUAAAGGUUCGAAAAAUGUGUUAUUAGUCGAAGAAGGGAAGUGAACUACCAAGAAAUUAUGCAGUAUUGUCUCUAAAAUGGGCUUUGCUUGGUACAGAAAGGGUACAUCUAAAGUAGAAUUUCUGUCAACAAAGACUGACCUUAUAAAUUAACCAUGGAGGUUGUGAAAUUCACAUCCAUUGAAGAUAGUUCCAAUGUGGCCUUGCUUGAAGUUGAGAAAAUAAGAAAUAACCAAUUUUAAAGUCUCUUGGGCCCCUGCAGUUCUCUGAUUUAUGGAAAAAAUUUAACAUUUGUACCUUUUUCACUUCACCUACAGUCAGACAUGCAUGCAGCAAAGGUCUGAGUGUAUAGUUUUCUAAAUAACUAGCCUAGAAACCCACCAGAGCACACACAGUGAGGUGACUCUGUCACCCAUGGAGCAGCUAAAAAAUGACAUCAAUAAAUCAUAAAAUAUGCCCACGAGGGCAUUAUAAAUCAUUUAGAGUUGCUAUUAAUAUUUUAGACAUGUUCAUUUUUAGCAGUGUGUUAAAGUUUAGUGUUUGCAUUCCGUUUUAAUUCACUACUUGAUAAUUGAAAUAUGAUACUGUUAAAAAUGACUUUAAAUUAUUUUUUGCUAAUCAUUUAAGGAUUAAAUAGAGUAAGGGAACGGUUCUUGCUGGCUUCAUUUUCUCUCCAAUUCCCUUCUGGCACUUGCAGUACUGAUUCUCUUAACAGUGCCGUGGGGUGAUGACCAUCGGUCUUCCCUGGGAAGGAGGGAAUGUUCAGAGGUCCUUCCCCGUAAUUCCCCUUCCAGAGAAGGGAGAGCUAAUGCUUGAAGCCGUAAGUAUUAGCAGGCAGAUCCUUAAGAGAUCAAGCUCUCCCUUCUCAGGAAUGUGGCCGUGUGGUGGCUGGAAAGGGGGCCACUUCCUCCCAAGUUGCCCAGGACUUGCCUAGUUUUAGCCCUGCAAGUUUUGAGUUUCAGGAAAUAGGUUGGUUCAAGUUAAACUGCAUGCUUGGGUCCCCAGAUCCAAAAGACUCUUCUUUGGCAGUACAGGCCCUGGAAAAAUGGUGGAUUUCAACACAUUGGUCAAUAGUAUUUGUUUCUUUCUUUCUGUGACUCGCAGGCCAUUCCACUGUUGACUUCCUGAUUGGCUUUAUGCUCUUUACUUGGUCAGGGCAUCCUGCCAGAUUGUGCCACUGUGGGGGUCCACUUCUUUCAUAUUAUUAAAAAAUCCACAAUUAUUAAUAAAAAACACUUUACCGAGGGUCUAUUUUGUGCCCAGCCAUGUGCUAAGUAUUUUAUGUUUACAAUAUCAUAGGUCUUUACCGAAUCUUUGUGAGGAGAAUACUAUUACUCUUACUGCUGAUAAGGAAACUUAGAUUCAGAAGGUUAAGAGGUUAGGCAGAGAUCUCAGAACUGGUCAUUGGCAGCUAGCUUUGUUCUAAAGCCUAUGGGUGUUUCCUGCUUGAUCCCCUUAGGGACUUGCCUGCUAAUACUUAUGGCUUCAAUGUGCGGAUCUCUGUUAAGAGAUGCUGAGAGUUCCUGUUGUGGCUCAGGGGUAAUGAACCCAACUAGGAUCCAUGAGGAUGCAGGUUUGAUCCCUGGCUUCACUCAGUGGGUUAAGUGGGUUAAUCCGGCAUUGCUGUGAGCUGUGGUGUAGGUUGCAGAUGCCGCUCGGCUCGGAUUCUACGCAGCUCCGAGGGCAGCUGCAGCUCCAAUUUGACCCCUAGCCUGGGAACCUCCAUGUGCCACGGGUGCAG